rnacentral:rRNA from 1 species
GUGCCAGCAGCCGCGGUAAUACGUAGGGUGCGAGCGUUAAUCGGAAUUACUGGGCGUAAAGCGUGCGCAGGCGGUUUGCUAAGACCGAUGUGAAAUCCCCGGGCUCAACCUGGGAACUGCAUUGGUGACUGGCAGGCUAGAGUAUGGCAGAGGGGGGUAGAAUUCCACGUGUAGCAGUGAAAUGCGUAGAGAUGUGGAGGAAUACCGAUGGCGAAGGCAGCCCCCUGGGCCAAUACUGACGCUCAUGCACGAAAGCGUGGGGAGNNCAACAGAUUAGAUACCCUGGUAGUCC